CUCACCCAAAUCAGUCUAUUACAAUUUACAUCCAAAUUAUAAUACCAUAUGAACAGAAUGAAACUAACAAUUACAGUAGUACAGCUUUAUUGCUCAAGCCUCUAGCUAGCAAGGAACCCAUUACAAUACCAUGAUAACGUUCCUAUGAGCACACACCUUCAAUAUGUUACAUCCAAACGAAAUGUACAACGUACACAAACAAAUAUAACUAAAAAACAGUAAAUAUCUU
rnacentral:lncRNA from 1 species